CCCUACGGGACGCAGCAGUGGGGAAUAUUGCACAAUGGGCGAAAGCCUGAUGCAGCAACGCCGCGUGAGUGAAGAAGGAUUUCGGUAUGUAAAGCUCUAUCAGCAGGGAAGAUAAUGACGGUACCUGAGUAAGAAGCCCCGGCUAACUACGUGCCAGCAGCCGCGGUAAUACGUAGGGGGCAAGCGUUAUCCGGAUUUACUGGGUGUAAAGGGAGCGUAGACGGCAUGGCAAGUCUGAAGUGAAAGCCCGUGGCUCAACCGCGGAACUGCUUUGGAAACUGUUAAGCUGGAGUGCAGGAGAGGUG
rnacentral:rRNA from 1 species